CGAGCGGUAGAAGUCCUUCGGGACUUUGAGAGCGGCGUACGGGUGCGUAACACGUGUGCAACCUACCUUUAUCUGGGGAAUAGCCUUUCGAAAGGAAGAUUAACACCCCAUAAUAUAAUGAUUGGCAUCAAUUAUUAUUGAAAACUCCGGUGGAUAGAGAUGGGCACGCGCAAGAUUAGAUAGUUGGUGAGGUAACGGCUCACCAAGUCUGUGAUCUUUAGGGGUCCUGAGAGGGAGAUCCCCCACACUGGUACUGAGACACGGACCAGACUCCUACGGGAGGCAGCAGUGAGGAAUAUUGGACAAUGGGUGAAAGCCUGAUCCAGCCAUCCCGCGUGAAGGAUGACGGUCCUAUGGAUUGUAAACUUCUUUUGUACAGGAAUAAACCUACUCUCGUGAGAGUAGCUGAAGGUACUGUACGAAUAAGCACCGGCUAACUCCGUGCCAGCAGCCGCGGUAAUACGGAGGGUGCAAGCGUUAUCCGGAUUUAUUGGGUUUAAAGGGUCCGUAGGCGGGCCUGCAAGUCAGUGGUGAAAUCUCAUAGCUUAACUAUGAAACUGCCAUUGAUACUGCAGGUCUUGAGUAAAUUUGAAGUGGCUGGAAUAAGUAGUGUAGCGGUGAAAUGCAUAGAUAUUACUUAGAACACCAAUUGCGAAGGCAGGUCACUAAGAUUUAACUGACGCUGAUGGACGAAAGCGUGGGUAGCGAACAGGAUUAGAUACCCUGGUAGUCCACGCCGUAAACGAUGCUAACUCGUUUUUGGAUCUUCGGAUUCAGAGACCAAGCGAAAGUGAUAAGUUAGCCACCUGGGGAGUACGUUCGCAAGAAUGAAACUCAAAGGAAUUGACGGGGGCCCGCACAAGCGGUGGAUUAUGUGGUUUAAUUCGAUGAUACGCGAGGAACCUUACCAAGGCUUAAAUGGGAAUUGACAGGCUCAGAAAUGUGCUUUUCUUCGGACAAUUUUCAAGGUGCUGCAUGGUUGUCGUCAGCUCGUGCCGUGAGGUGUUAGGUUAAGUCCUGCAACGAGCGCAA
rnacentral:rRNA from 1 species